GCCGAGGUGGCGGAAUUGGUAGACGCACUACUUUGAGGUGGUAGCGGCCGCAAGGCUGUGCAGGUUCAAAUCCUGUCCUCGGCAUCA
rnacentral:tRNA from 1 species